UACAGAGGUCUCGAGCGUUAGGCGGAAUCACUGGGCUUAAAGCGUGUGUAGGCGGAUUGUUAAGUACCUUGUGAAAUCCCACGGCUUAACCGUGGAAUUGCUGGGGUAUACUGGCGGUCUUGAGCCACUUAGGGGCUACCGGAACAAAUGGUGGAGUGGUGAAAUGCGUAGAGAUCCGGAGGAACACCAGAGGCGAAGGCGGCCUACUGGGCUGCACCUGA
rnacentral:rRNA from 1 species